GAUCAGCUUCCAUUGGUGUCUUCCAUUACGGCGGGAUCAGCCCAUCAGUUUGACGGUAGCACUCAUUCGUCAGGUCACAGAACCCUUAGAAAGACGGACGGAGCAAAACGGCCACAGGCCUUCGUCAGAAGGACACGCUACCCUGCCGACCGGCCGUCUUCCUUCGUCGGAAGGGCCCAUGUCCGUGCCGACCGACCGCCUGCCCUCGUUCGAGGGAGGGAAGGGGCGGAUACCGUCGGUGGAGGGACCUGCCCCGUCGAUCCGCCGUCCGCCCUCGCUGGAGGGGGCGCCACUGCGCGGGGACCCGUCCGUACUACAACUGGUGCUCACCAGUGGCCAGAUGGCGCCAGGCAUCCAGGGCGCUCAGCUCAUCAUACCCACUGCUCAAGGUGUAACAGUGCAGCCCAUCAUUGCGAUCCCAGCC